UGGGGAAUAUUGCACAAUGGGCGCAAGCCUGAUGCAGCCAUGCCGCGUGUAUGAAGAAGGCCUUCGGGUUGUAAAGUACUUUCAGCGAGGAGGAAGGCGUUGUGGUUAAUAACCGCAGCGAUUGACGUUACUCGCAGAAGAAGCACCGGCUAACUCCGUGCCAGCAGCCGCGGUAAUACGGAGGGUGCAAGCGUUAAUCGGAAUUACUGGGUGUAAAGCGCACGCAGGCGGUCUGUCAAGUCGGAUGUGAAAUCCCCGGGCUCAACCUGGGAACUGCAUCCGAAACUGGCAGGCUAGAGUCUUGUAGAGGGGGGUAGAAUUCCAGGUGUAGCGGUGAAAUGCGUAGAGAUCUGGAGGAAUACCGGUGGCGAAGACGGCCCCCUGGACAAAGACUGACGCUCAGGUGCGAAAGCGUGGGGAGCAAACA
rnacentral:rRNA from 1 species